rnacentral:rRNA from 1 species
CCUGACGCAGCGACGCCGCGUGCGGGAUGAAGGCCUUCGGGUUGUAAACCGCUUUCAGGAGGGAAGAAAAUGACGGUACCUCCAGAAGAAGGCCCGGCCAACUACGUGCCAGCAGCCGCGGUAAUACGUAGGGGCCAAACGUUGUCCGGAAUUAUUGGGCGUAAAGAGCUCGUAGGCGGCUUGACAAGUCGGACGUGAAAUCGGGGCUCAACCCCGGGACGCCGUUCGAAACUGUCAUGGCUAGGGUCCGGUAGAGGUGAGUGGAAUCCUAGGUGUAGCGGUGAAAUGCGUAGAUAUCAGGAGGAACACCGGUGGCGAAGGCGACUUCCUGGACCAAUACUGACGCUGAGGCGCGAAGGCGUGGGGAGCAAACAGGAUUAGAUACCCUGGUAGUCCACGCAGUAAACGUUGAACACUAGGUGUAGCGGGUAUUGACCCCUGCUGUGCCGCAGCUAANGCAUUAAGUGUUCCGCCUGGGGAGUA